GCUGGGUGUGGUGGGGAGUGCCUGUAGUCCCAGCUACUCGGGAGGGUGAGCCAGAAGGAUUGCUUGAGUCCAGGAGUUCUGGGCUAUAAUGUGCUAUCCUGAUCGGGUAUCUGCACUAAGUUUGGCAUCAAUAUGGUGACCUCCCAGGAGCUGGGACCAUCAGGUUGCCUAAGGAGGGGUAAACCAAGAUGAAAAUGGAGCAGGUCAAAACUCUCAUGCUGAUCAGUAGUGGGAUCACACUGGUGACUAUCCACCGCACGCCAGCCUAGGCAACAUAGCAAGACCCCCAUCUCU
ensembl:misc_RNA Metazoa_SRP Metazoan signal recognition particle RNA